rnacentral:rRNA from 1 species
AACGAACGCUGGCGGCAUGCCUAACACAUGCAAGUCGAACGAGACCUUCUGGUCUAGUUGCUCACGUGUGCGUAACGCGUGGGAACCUGCCUUUAUGAUCGGAAUAACUCCCCGAAAGGGGUUCUAAUACCGGUUAAUGUCUUCGGACCAAGUAUUUAUCGCCUUUGGAUGGGCCCGCGUUGGAUUAGCUAGUUGGUAGGGUAAAAGCCUACCAAGGCGACGACCCAUAGCUGGUCUGAGAGGAUGAUCAGCCACACUGGGACUGAGACACGGCCCAGACUCCUACGGGAGGCAGCAGUGGGGAAUAUUGGACAAUGGGCGAAAGCCUGAUCAAGCAAUGCCGCGUGAGUGAUGAAGGCCUUAGGGUUGUAAAGCUCUUUUACCCGGGAUGAUAAUGACAGUACCGGGAGAAUAAGCUCCGGCUAACUCCGUG